GCCGAAGUGGCGGAAUUGGCAGACGCGCUAGGUUCAGGACCUAGUCCGCCUUAUGGUGGAUGCGGGUUCGAAUCCCGCCUUCGGCA
rnacentral:tRNA from 1 species